UUUAAACAUUUUCUCUUUCAUUUUUCCAAUAUGCAAAAGGUGAACUCGUUAUGUUUUCUUCUUUCUCUCUGAAAACCCUAGCGCCGCCGUCGAACCACCUUCUGCCUCUUCCUCCGUCACCUCACCUCCAAUCGAAGAAAGGAGGUCAUUUUUGUGUUCAUCAUCACGUGACCUUUAACCUGAACCAGUUGGAUUUUUGUAUUAGACAAUUUCAGUUUAAAUGCAUUAUGCUACUUCGUGAACGGAGGUGGCGAUGUUUGGAUCAACGAGAAUCGCUUCCGCGUCUUGCGUCAGCUCGGAGAAGGCGGCUUCACUUACGUCUACCUCGUCAAGGAAACUCCCAACGACUCUCCCGCCGGUGGCCUCGCCAAUAAACUCAAAGACUUCUCUCAUCUUUCCGGAUUUGAUCUUCCUCAGCCAGGAUUUAGGCCUGCAGAAAGGGUUGAGGAGACGGGUCGGCGACUUGAGAAGUACUGCAAGAAGUUCAAGGUUCCAUUUGAGUACAAUUCGCAGGAAGAUCCAUAUAGGUUGAUGUUUGAGAAAGGGUUAUAUGGAAGGGAUGCAAUAAAUGUGAUAGCUUGUGAGGGAGCAGAGAGAGUUGAAAGGCCAGAGACUUACAAGAAUUGACAGAUGCAAGGAGCCUAUUGAGCCAUUGACAAUUGAAGAAGUAGCUGAAUGUUGCCAUGCUCCAGAAGAUGUACACCAUUUACCUCACUGCUAAAUGCUCUCCAAUAUUAAUUUUUUCAAUUAUGUUAUUGAAUCAAAUUAAUAAAAAGUAUUAAUUAGUUAGAUAGAUUUUUGGUAACAUUUAAUUUUUCUUGAAGAACAUUUAGUAUAUCUGUUGAAGUGUUGAGUGUUGAUUUUUGGUAACACCCUAAUUUUUCUUUGCUUUGGCAUCAACUUUUACUAGAAAGCUUCUAAGUGUUGAGUUAGAGCCACAAUUUGAUAAGCCAUAUCUAAGCACUUCACUUCAAGUUGUGCAUCCAAAAUUUCCUGAAAACAAUACCAUUCACCUAUACUAUAGUCCUUUGAAGAACAUAUAUAAAUCCCUCACAGUCACUAAUUAACAUGUUUGCAUUUUGGCUAUGCUACAAAAAAUCUUUAGGUCUUCUCCUUUAAAUAGUUCUUAAAUUAAGAAAAGAGAAUAGUAGAAUUAUAUAUUUUUUAGUUUUAGCUUUCAUGAUUAAUUUCUUUGUACAUACACACAAUUCAAAACUCUAAACACGUGACAAAUGAUUGAAGGAAUAAGAGAGUUGUGACAAAUCAUGUAUAAAUUAGUAGAAGGUGUGAUGCAGAGCUGAGAUUUAUACUGGUGCCAAUCUUAGCUAGUGAACUAAGUUUUUCUUUUUCUAAAGGUGUAAGAUUCUAUGUAAUAGGGAUGAACAAUUAAAUAACAAGCCAUUGUAGUAAUGAAUUAAUUCUUCAUGGUUGACAUAAGAAAAUUCAGUUUACAUUGAUUAUAAACUUGGUGAUUUUUGAAAACAAAUUGUUUGUUGAAAUGCCACAAUGAGUUUAUUAGGUUGAUUCUGAGUUGGGGCUUGAAUGUUAAUCUUCUAUCAUGGUGGAUGUUUUAUGGACGGUUAGUGUUUAUCUAUGCCUUUCCAAAGUUAAGUUAACCGACGAAGGGCUGAAGCAGUUGUUGCAGAAAUGCUUAUCCCUUCAAAGUUUGAAUCUCUAUGCAGUGUCUAGGUAUGAAUUGAAACUCAACCUAUUGAAGUUCAAUUUGUCUUUCUUUCCCUGAAAAUUCACUGCAUUACUCUUAUUCAGUUUCACAGCUCAUGUUUUUGGAUCUCUGUGGUGCCCAGAAUCUUUCAGACGAAGGACUUGAAUGUAUUUCGAAAUGCAAGAACCUUGUAUCCCUCAAUCUGACUUGGUGUGUACGUGUGACCGAUGAGGGAGUUAUAGUUGUUGCUCAGAGUUGCACCUCUCUUGAAUUUCUAAGUAUGGAUUGAACAAUGGGUGCUACUAGUGUUCAAGCAAUUCAGUGAGGUGUCAAUGUCUUGAUUGAGAAUGAGUAUGGGGCAGAGUAAAUUACUUGGACCUGUUGGCUAUAAUUAUAUGAGCUGGGCUGCAAAAAUGGCUGUUGAAAUGGGAACCGGGGUUCCAUGGGUGAUGUGCAAGGAAGACGAUGCUCCAGAUCUAGUGAUAAACACUUGCAAUGGCUUUUAUUGUGAUAAAUUUACUCCCAAUAAACCUUACAAGCCUACAAUGUGGACAGAGGCUUGGAGUGGCUGUUUCUUCCUAUGUUAGGUUGGAGUGCAAACAUCUCAGAUGGAAAUGUUUCCUACAAAUACUCAUAUGUUCUCAUGGAAGAGUUUCGUUGAAGAUACUUCUUCUAGUUCUACAAAUACAAUCACUGCUUCUGGUCUCUUGGAACAGAUAAAUGUAACAUGAGAUAUAAGUGAUUACCUUUGGUAUAUAACUAGCGUUGAUGUUGAUUCGUCCGAAUCCUUUCUCCAUGGAGGCAAACUCCCUUCUCUCAUUGUUCAGUCCACUGGCCAUGCUGUGCAUGUUUUUAUCAAUGGUCGACUUUCUGGCUCUGCCUAUGGAACGAGGGAGGACAGGAGAUUCAGAUAUAUUGGCGAUGUAAAUCUUCGUGUCGGAACAAACACUAUAGCUUUGCUAUGUGUGCUGUUGGACUUCCAGUAAGUUUUGUUUUCCACCCUUAUUUUCAGAAGAUCAUUCUACUAUGGAUUUUAUUCUUCACCUACUACUUAGUGCUUACUGAUAUCAUUCUUUUUUUUAUAAUGUUUCAAAAGUUUAUAAUUUUUUUUAAUUUGAGAUAGAAAUUACCUGCGGAUUUACCUGCGGAAAUUUCCUGCGGAUUUACCUGCGGAAAUUUCCUGCGGAUAUACCUGCGGAAUUACCUGCGGAAUUUGCUGCCGAAAAUAUUACCCACGAAGGUUUUAGCUGGGGACAUAAAGCCGCAGGAAAAUCCGCAGGAAACGUGUUUCCUGCGGAAAUUUGGCUAAAAUCUGCAGGUAAAUCCGCAGGAAAUUUGAGUAUUUCUAGUAGUGUAUAUUCUGGUGUUAAAACUUAGUUAUUGAAUUCAUCUAACAAGUGAGAUUUUACUAAAGAAACAAGAGAGGGAAGG